UAAAACAGAAAUCCGAAAUCCGCAAAAGCGUCUCCUGUCUCCUUGCUCGCGAUCGCCUUAUCAUUCACAUGGUGAAGGAGAGGCGAGCAAUCCUUAACGCACGCAAUUCUUGAUUAUUAUUAUUAUUAUUUUUUAUUUUUCCACCUCUCUUCUCCCCCUUCUCAGUCCCCGCUGCUCCGCUUCUUUCUCGUCUACUCCAAGCCUUACCCUAAUCGUACGCGAUCAGAGUUCGCAGGUUCUGUUAACCUGAAUCGACGCCGGUGACGCAGAGGUUAGAAUCGGAACUGGCAUGGAAAGCGGGAUGGAGGCUCAAGUCAAUCCCCUCUUGAGUUUUUUUGCCGCCUUUUCUUAUGGUAUAGCAUCAAUGACUAUGGUCUUUAUUAACAAGGCAGUGUUAAUGCAGUAUGGCUACUCUAUGAGUCUCCUUACCUUACAGCAAUUGGUCACAGCCCUUCUCAUACACUUUGGCAAAGUCAUGGGACAUACAAAAGCCAAAAUGAACAUGACGACAGCUAAGAAACUCCUUCCAGUGUCGGUGUUCUACAAUGCAAAUGUGGCGUUUGCACUGGCAAGCUUGAAGGGCAUCAAUAUUCCAAUGUACAUAGCUUUGAAGAGGCUCACCCCUCUUGCAGUUUUGGUGGUUGGAUUUCUCAGAGGAAAGGGAAGGCCUUCAACUCAGGUAAAAAAUCAGCUUGCUCUUUUCCCUGAGGCACGAGCAAUGGAUUUUAGUUACUUACAUUUCUUAUGUUUGGUUGGUUUUGUUUUUGGCACUAAUACAAUGUCCAUGUGGUGCUAACUUUUUUCUAAUGAUCAAUUAGCAACCCCAAUAAGCAAUCUCUCUCUAUGGGGAUUAUUUCAUUAUUGCUGAUUGGCGGAAGAAAAUCAGUGGCUUGAAGUGAAUGUUGCUUAUUCGUAUUGUAUUUGACCUCUUUUUAUUCUAACUCCAGGUUUUUGUUUAAAAUUAAAUUUAUAUUGUUUUAGUCGCCUUAACAAAUAUUGGUUGGAUUAGAACAUUCUGACUGAUAUUAUUUGUCUGGCAUAAGUAAUUCCACGUCUUUUAUGCUUCUCUUUACACUGAUGAAAAGAAUAUCAUCAAUAAAUGUUGAGUUCGACACUGUAUUUUGACUGUCCUCUUGUUUUCAAAAAUUUUGCUGACGAGGAAAGAGCGUAUUCAGAAUAAUCUGAAGGAAAUAGUUAGCAUAAUUAAUUUAGUAUGCUUUUCUGGUGUGCGAUAUUUUUUGAAAGCAAUAACCCUGAAAACUGCAUAAUAUAUUAAGAUUCGGUUUGGACAAGGGACCUGAGAUAAAUAAAAAAAUAAAAAUGACUAUCCUCUCUGUUAAAUUGAAUUUUAUAUAAGGGUUAUUACAUUCACGGAUUUUGCUUAUUUCAAAUGAAUCUAUCUUAACUAGCGUUCCUGAGCAUGAAUCUACCUGGCAUAUUGUCACUCAAUAAUUACUUGGCUUCACUCGGAUGUUUAAAUGACCUUUCAGGUAUCUCUUUCAGUCAUCCUCACUGCUGUGGGAGUCAUCAUUGCAGCACUAGGAGACUUCUCCUUUGAUUUCUAUGGGUACACCAUGGCCCUCACUUCUGUUUUCUUCCAGGUGAAAAAUGUUUGCAUGUUUUACUUUGUUAGAUAUUGGAAAGUUUGAUAAAGAAAGGUAAAGUGUGAGUUAUUACUUAUUAACAUAUGUUGUUAAGCUGGUUUAAUAUGCACAUGUAUUUUUUCCCAAUUAGAUUAACAGCUGGUCAUGAUUGUAGACUAUGUAUCUGGUGCUGGUAGAGAAAUCUGGAGCAGAGGAGGGGCUUACUUCAGUUGAAAUAAUGUUCUAUAAUGCCUUGAUAUCUCUCCCAUUUCUGUUUUUCCUUAUCAUAGCAACAGGAGAAUUUCCACACUCUGUCUCAUUGUUGUACGAAAAGGUCAGAAACAACCUCUAGUAUCUCAGUUCCAUGAUUUCAAAUAAUGUUUAUGCUUGAGAUAUUUUUUGUUAGUAAACUUCCAAAUUUUACAUCAUCAUGGAAAGCAUCACUUGUUUGUUAUUCACAAACGGUUCAAAUCUGAGUCUUAUCGUGUUAUCAUUUAUUAUACUGAAAGUCAGAUGCAUAUCCAACAGUCCAGCCUGUACUGUAUAGGUUGUUUAUUUUCUAUUAUUUCCUUCUAGAACAAGUAUCAUUUUAUGUAGAGGAACAUUGAGGAAUAGUAAGUCUACAGUGUGUGUAGUUCGAUUGAAUUUAGACCAUUGGUUUCUUAGUCAUCCACCAGCUUUCUUGGCCUUUGAAAUGGUCCGGGCUUGGCGAAGGAUUUUAGUUAGACCUGCAAAUUACAAUGUUACAAGCUGUUAAGAUAAUAUUUAAAUCUAUAAGAUUGACAUGGUCAUAGUGGUGAAUUGAAAUGGUAAAAUCAAUAUUGGGCAAAGGAUGAUCAAGUUUUUUUUAAUCUAAUAGUUGCAUUAUUGUGAACAUUUAUUUUGUAUAUGUACAUUGUUCAUAAAUGAACUUAUGAUAUUGGCUUUUGCAAUAAGAAUUUGAGACCUUAGAGAUGCAAAAUUCAAGCAGAAAAACUAAAUCUUGCCUGAGAAAAAUGCAAGCUCUCAUGUCAGAUUGAAUCAGAAAGUCAGAUUGGACCUUUCAAGUUUUUCCCAACCCUAUUUCUCAGGAGUAAUGUUUAGCCCACCCUUCACUGAUUCUCCAUUGUGAAGGACCUUGUGCAAAGAUCGUCUUUUUUUUUCCUUUCAGUAAUUUUGAACUUGGACUAGAAGAAAAGUAUGUCAUGUGUGUUGGCUAGGAAAUUGAUAGGUAAUGCUGUGGCACCUUCUUAGAAAGUUUACAAGUUCUUGGUAAUUCCGUAACCAUAAAAGCAAUCAACGAUUCUUGUCAUCUCGCCUGAUAUCUACAUGUUUAUAAUCAUUCAGUUAAUGAUUGGUUCAGCUCAGUUUUGUUGAUAACCUGUGUUUGUGCAUCAUCAGUUUAUUCAAUUAAUUCGAUGUUUUUCUAACAUGGCAGGCGUAUUCAUUUACAUUCCUUCUGAUUCUCGUUCUGUCAUUGAUAAUGGGCAUCGUUCUGAACUUCACGAUGUUCUGGUGUACCAUUGUGAACUCUGCUCUGACAACCACGAUCGUAGGAGUUCUCAAGGGUGUCGUGUCCACAACCCUUGGGUUCAUCUUGUUGGGUGGGGUUCAACUACAUGCUUUAAAUGUGACUGGAUUGGUCAUCAACACAGCAGGUGGCGUGUGGUAUUCAUAUGCUAAGUACCGGCAAAAGAAGAAAAUCCCUCGCAAGGUGCUGUCCCAAGAAGAUCUAGUUAAAAACAAAGUUUGAAUUAGAUAGAAGCACGUGGCCUUCUCGUGCUUAGAAAUACGAAAGAAGAAAGGAAGAAUUACAAGAGAAUAAUUCAUUGGAAUUUGGAAUAGUUGAUUUGUUACAACCAUAACAAUGUUCUUAAAAAUAUUCUUGAAUUGUAAACCAUUCUUUUUCCUUCCAGUUACGGUGGAAUGUUGAUUUGUAAUUGUAAUUGACAAACUCCAUCCAUUUAUAUGUUGAUAAGGACCACAAAUCGUAGGGUUCAUAGGGUUGCAAAUUCAUCUUCGGCUUCCCUCGCCCGCGGGCUCCAUUUCGUCAUUCUCUCUUCCCGAUCCAGGCUAGGUUUUAUCCCUGAUCUGUGCGCCGGCGGUAGCUCAAGUGAAGUUCAGCUGCAAGCCCCGGUUGACGUCUACUUACCGUAGCUCCCCGGGAAAGCAAUAGCAGGAGAGAGCUCAGAGCCUCAAAGGUGGUACUUUUGUCCGGAAAAUGCUGGGGUAUUCGAUCGAGGGCCGAUGCGAACAAGAGAGAAGAUCAUCCUUCUUCGUCUCUUCCGCUGCGGGCGAAGAAGAACCACCGGCGAUGGAUUGAGGCGACGGUAGAAACGCCACCAGCUUGGAAUGGAGCCGAGAGACCCAGUGCCGAGCGCAUUUCUCCGUCUUCCUCUUCGGUCGCUGCUGGAACAAUCACUUGCGCCGGUGCUAUCUCAUCUUUCCUUCCGCCUUGGUCUCUCCGCGAUUCUAGAUUUGUGUUUCCUCUGUUCCACUCAAACGGUUUGGCGCGGCCAACUGAUUCUAGAUCGGAUCGGAAUACGAAUGUCCGGUUUUGAGACAGAUCAGCAAAUCCAUACGGUUUUGAAAGAAUUUAGCCGAUUUCCGUUUACCACCAGUUGGAAGAUGAUUCAGAUGAUCUGUGCGAUCCUUGCGAAUUCGAGGCGGAUUGACAGUGUGCGAGAUUGAACUUGAAGGCUCGCGUCCGCUAGCCCGGAGAUCCUUUGAUAUAGAGAGAUGUGGAGAAGAGUGAGAAUUACUGGCAUUCAAAGUGCAGUUGCUACCUGGCAUCAGAAUCCACUGGUUGAUGAAAAUGUUGCCAAGAUCAGGGCAGAUAUCACAAAGGAACACAGCUGUCGACACAUUCAUCACAACUGACGAAUUUGCUCACAAGCAUAAGGAAGGCAUUCCCAUGUUUAUUGAUGGAGAUAAAGACAUCUUUGGAAACUUGCAACAACACAAUUGAUUCACUUCUACUCCUCAAACAACAAAUACAUUUCAGAAGUUUGUAGCCACCAUCAGCCCAUGCAUCUUAUAUGCAGGUUUAAUGGAUGCAACCAUGCACGACACCAGACGAAUACGUUCAAGUUCAUUCCUAUCUUUGCUUGAGAGAAUAUCAAGUAGGCAUGCAAUCCGUGAGAUGGUAGCUGCAGUAACAGUGACGAUGGAGAUAACAGCAGUGACAUGCGUUGAAUCCAACACUGCCUCUUUCUCUAUUGCCUCAUCAUCGACAUUCAAUGGAUUUGACAACAACUUGUGAUCAGUUAAUUCUCACCCUCUCGAUCCUGAUCCAAAUCCAACUAUGUAAACUGGUCCUGCCUGCAAACUCCUCAAUUAAUUAUCGUCAUAUGAAGUACAAAAUACACCAACUCAAACUGGUUGCAAGUUUGAGGAGUGGUGCCUACAGAAGACCAACCAAACUCUGCUGCAUCUCAAUUGCUGUGCCAGUUAAUUUCUUGGUACAACCACAUCAAGAAGCAGACACUGUUUCUCGAUUUGAUAUGCCUCGAGGAAUGAGGAGGUCAAUAAUAUAUUAUAUAGUUUUAUUCAUAACCAGCUUCGAGUGUGGCUAUUUAUACUCCCUCUUCCAACUUAAAUUCUACUUCUUCAAACUUCUAUCUAUUGCUGAUGUUCAUGGCUAGGUCAGCGGCAACGUCGAAGAGGAAGGCAAUCAGCAGAUCAAGACUGGUGAAGACGCCACUGCAGCAUGUGGUGGUGCUAAGGAAGCUGAGGAGGCUUAAGAAGCUUGUCCCAGGGUGCUGCAGGAGCACCGCUAUUGGAUUAGAGGAAUUGCUGAGGAGGACUGCGCAGUAUAUCUCAUUCCUGGAGUUGAAAGUGAUUCUUCUUAAGAGGACCAUUGACUUCAUGGGGAUUAACAAACUUAAAUAAUUAUCCAGCUUUAGCGGAGUUAAUUUCAUGCUGAAUGUGUGUGUGUUCAUCGUAUGUGUUAAUUUAGCAGUGUCCCCUUCCUGGUAGACCGUACGGAUCACAUGAGAUCUUGUAGUCGCCUAUAUAUAUGUUUGCAUGAAUAAACAUUGCACCUCUGCUUUCAGUCUUCCUGUUCCUGGUUACAAAUGGCUGGCUGUUUCCGGCAAAGGCAAGUUCUGUUCAUAUUUGAGGGACCCCACCAUAUCUAGCUAGUUCCACACACUUGAUCUUCUUUGGUUAAUUCAUGUGUCGUCACAACACAACUGAACUGAACUGCACUGCACUGAUAUCUCUAUGUGCUUGGACUCAUCUUUGGUUAUACUCUUGUUCUUGCAGGAUUAAAAAGGUCAUUCCAAUGCCAUAAUGAGAUUAUAUCUAUCUACCUCCAUCCGUCCGGCAAACAUGCAUUGAUCAAACAUUGAAAUGAGUGAUAAAAGUUGGAGGAACAGUUCCACAUCUUGUCGCCCAUGUUUCCUGGAUCUUGCAACACAGUUUCUACAAUUUUUGUUACUCAUCUCCUGUUCAUGCUUUACAUAAGAUCUCAGGUGAAAAAAAAUUAAAAUGAGGCUCUCUGUUUAUUUUUUUCUUCAUGUUGAGGAAAACAUCA